rnacentral:rRNA from 1 species
AUUGAACGCUGGCGGCAUGCCUAACACAUGCAAGUCGAACGGAGGGCUUCGGCCCUUAGUGGCGGACGGGUGAGGAACACGUAGGAAUCGGCCCACGAGUGGGGGACAACCUGGGGAAACUCAGGCUAAUACCGCAUACGCUCGCGAGAGGAGAGCGGGGGACCUUCGGGCCUCGCGCUGGUGGACGAGCCUACGUCCGCUUAGCUAGUUGGUGGGGUAACGGCCUACCAAGGCGACGAUCGGUAGCGGGUCUGAGAGGACGACCCGCCACACUGGGACUGAGACACGGCCCAGAGUCCGACGGGAGGCAGCAGUGGGGAAUAUUGGACAAUGGGCGCGAGCCUGAUCCAGCAAUGCCGCGUGGGUGAAGACGGCCUGCGGGUUGUAAAGCCCUUUAGGCGGGGAGGAACGGUCGGGUGCCAAUACCACCCGGCGCUGACGUUACCCGCAGAAUAAGCACCGGCUAACUCCGUGCCAGCCGCCGCGGUAAUAC